rnacentral:lncRNA from 1 species
GUUCCUGGUCCGGUUUUCCCCGCAUUUGCGCAGAAAUCUGUCUUGUUUGCAUGAGACUUUGAAAAGAAAAUUAUAUGUAUCAGUCUAGUAAAAUAUAAGAUUGGAACUCAAUACAAUUUCAUUUUUAAUAAUUGUUUGAUUUGAAAAAAACGUUACCUGAUGGAAGCGUUUCUUUUGUUUACAUUGAAUAUGACGUCAUAACUUAAACAACGUCACAGCUAAAUCCCUAAC